rnacentral:rRNA from 1 species
UGGGGAAUUUUGCGCAAUGGGGGAAACCCUGACGCAGCAACGCCGCGUGAGUGAUGAAGGCCUUCGGGUCGUAAAGCUCUGUCAGAGGGAAAGAAGUGCGAGAGGGUUAAUACCCCUUUUGCUUGACGGUACCCUCAAAGGAAGCACCGGCUAACUCCGUGCCAGCAGCCGCGGUAAUACGGAGGGUGCGAGCGUUGUUCGGAAUUAUUGGGCGUAAAGCGCGUGUAGGCGGUCUUUUAAGUCGGAUGGGAAAGCCCCGGGCUCAACCUGGGAAGUGCAUUGGAAACUGGGAGACUUGAAUACGGUAGAGGGUAGGGGAAUUCCUAGUGUAGGAGUGAAAGCCGUAGAUAUUAGGAGGAACACCGGUGGCGAAGGCGGCUACCUGGACCGAUAUUGACGCUGAGACGCGAAAGCGUGGGGAGCAAACA